GUCAAAAUCAAGAUUACGAAAGCUUUCAACUUCUUUCUCGAAUCGAUCAGUGGUUUUUCGAAUUGAAGAUUAAAGAUGAAGUAGAAGAAAAAUUUGAUUAGUGGUUGACUGCAACAACAAUACCAACUGAUCAGUAUGUACACCAAGUCUUUUGUUGAAGCAUCAGAUAACAACUGUGUUUACAGAAACGAGGAUAUCAAAUUGAGCACAAAAUUAAGCUUAAAAAUACAGGAUUUGCUAUCUGAAUUAUUUAUUAACAUAUUGGUCCUCUUACUAUGAAUGUACAUGAUCUGAAAUUUAUAUUCUUUUUGAGCAUUUGACUAUGCAGGAAGCAUCAGAUAACAACUGUGUUUACAGAAACGAGGAUAUCAAAUUGAGCACAAAAAUUCUUAAAUAGGCUCCAAAUUAUCCAAAAAAAUAAAGAGAAGAGUGAGACUGUGACUCAAUGCCUAUGAGAGACAAAAAAAAAAAAGGUGAAACUCCAAGGAGAAGACAAAAGUUUUAUGGUAACUGGUUAUAGAGUAAGCAUAAAGGGUCGGUCAACAAAGUCCACCUAAUGAUAUGAUCCUUGUAUUUGAGUGCCCCUUCAAUUGGUCAAUGAUUUUGGUA